CCCGCGCAUCCACUACAGCCCAUCGAUCCCAGUGAGCCGCUUCCCCCAGUCUUGACUUACAGCAUACGGUGAUGUUGCACAGUAAGUUAGUGCCUUCUUCGCCAUUUUAGUCAGUUAACUAGUUAACUAGUUAGUUAUUUAUUCUUGAUUAGUUAAUAUACAUUCUCAGUUUAGAGUUGUUCGACAUCAUGAAAAUGAUAAAGAGAAGAAGAGCAUAUAUUUCAAUCUACCGAAUUUAUAUUGAUAUCUGUGCUUGAUAUUACCACAUCGUCAUAUCCUUGAUUGUUGUCGCUGAAAAAUUCGCUCCAUAUUACCGCAGCAGAUGAAGAAACUGAUAACCAUUCAGGCGGAGUGAAACAGUCGGAUGUUCGAUUCCUGUAGCCUUUCGCCUGGUAGCAGAGCCUAACCCCUCUGGUUGGCAUGUGGGCUUCCUACAAGCCAAAACAAGACAACAACGUGCUGGAGUAUUUUGCUCGAUAUAUCUAUCAUAUAGAUAUUGGUAAAGAUUUAUACUAUUGGUAGAGUAUUUCUAAAUUUUCACGUCAGUAAUACAUGUACAGAUAAAUGGGUAGAUGAGGACUUUAAUUUGGAUUUCCAAUUAACUGAUCGUUUAUGAAGGGCACGAGCAGGGCUUAUCAACUUAGAUUCUGGUAUUUUUCUAAAUGACC
rnacentral:sRNA from 2 species